rnacentral:rRNA from 1 species
GAUGAAUGCUGGCGGCGUGCUUAACACAUGCAAGUCGAGCGGCAGCGCGAGUAGUUUACUACUUGGCGGCGAGCGGCGGACGGCUGAGUAACGCGUAGGAACGUGCCCCAAAGUGAGGAAUAACUGCCCGAAAGGGUGGCUAAUGCCGCAUAUGGUCUUCGGAUUAAAGGAUUUAUCCGCUUUGGGAGCGGCCUGCGUAUGAUUAGGUAGUUAGUGAGGUAAUGGCUCACCAAGCCGACGAUCAUUAGCUGGUCUGAGAGGAUGACCAGCCAGACUGGAACUGAGACACGGUCCAGACUCCUACGGGAGGCAGCAGUGAGGAAUCUUCCACAAUGGGCGAAAGCCUGAUGGAGCAACGCCGCGUGCAGGAUGAAGGCCUUCGGGUUGUAAACUGCUUUUAUAAGUGAAGAAUAUGACGGUAACUUAUGAAUAAGCACCGGCUAACUACGUGCCAGCCGCCGCGGUAACAC